rnacentral:lncRNA from 1 species
CAUAUCUUUAUUUGAUGAAUUAUAAUUGUGAGUGUCCACUUUGAAGGCAAUAGUAAAAUACUUUCUUUCUAGUUGACACUAAAAGACAUAAGAGGAUAGCCAGGAUAGAUGUGUCUACAAAUAAAAUUGGGAAUUGAAAUGGGGUAUGUGUCUAAAAGACAACAACCCGCCCAUGGAGCAGACAGCAUCCAAAGGCCACAAAUACAUGCUUUCAAAGUAAAGGAUAUAUAUUUAAAACAUCAAAAGGACAUUCUCCUCAUGCAAUGAUCUUAUAGUUUAUAAACAAAAAUUGAGUUAUAAAUUUACAUAAGUCAUGCUGAAGGCCAAAAAUGUUGAAGAGUAGAUCUAAAGAUAUUGAUAAUGAAGCGUGGUCCAAUGAAAACUAUUUCAGCUCUCUCUUGCCUUUACAGAG